UCAACCCAUUCUCACUCCAAAGGCGUCAAAAACCGAAGCAUGGUCAAGCGCCCCUAGCGUCACUUUUAUGACGCCAAAUGUGCCUCUCGGCGUCGAAUAUCGAAGCACUACGACCUUCAUUGCUUUCAAUGGGAAACUUUUGGCGUCAGAAUUCGACACGAGGACAUGAGAUGUUUAUCGCUAUGAAAUCACGUUCAAGAAGUCUCAUUCAGCACACAUCGCGAUACUUGCUAUCAGUGACAGUUCCACAGUUUGGCUGAAAAGACAUAAAGGCAGUCAGCCCAGUGGUGUUUCUGGAGAGGGAUUCCUUCAGAAAUGGAGAAGACAGAAAGCUGCGGAGGCAGAUAUUUGCAGCAGAUUGUUUGAGGAUAACGCUGUAGCUCCAUCAUGCACAAGGACUCACCUCGUUAACUCUUUAUCCCCCGCACACACAGAAAUGGUCCCUGGAUCAGUGAUUAGACUUUGCAGUGGUUUGAUUUUUGCAGAAGAUGUAACUUUGUUUUAAUUAUAAGCUCAUAAUGAAUACAUUACAGAACCAGUGAUGAAAACAAUAGUUAAAAAAAGCGCUCCAUAUUAAAAAUAUAUUGCACACUUGACAUGCAUGUCUUCAUGGUGUUUUUUUGUGAGUUUGAAACAUUUACAUUGUGUUGUAUAACAUUUUGGUCACAACACUUUUCCAGUGUUCUCUGAAAGACAUACUGUAUUUACUGUUUUGUUUUUUAAUAAAAGCAUUUUCAUUUGCAUACUGAAAAUAGUUAAUGUUUACAACAUAACUGCCUUUUUAUUCUUUAUGGUGGCAAAAACGAGCUUGGUGACA